rnacentral:rRNA from 1 species
UAGAGUUUGAUCCUGGCUCAGGAUGAACGCUAGCUACAGGCUUAACACAUGCAAGUCGAGGGGCAUCAUGGAGUUUGCUUGCAAACUCUGAUGGCGACCGGCGCACGGGUGAGUAACGCGUAUCCAACCUUCCCUAUAGUAGAGGAUAGCCCGGCGAAAGUCGGAUUAAUACUCUAUGUUUUCCGUUGCAGACAUCUAAGAUGGAACAAAGGCUUGCCGCUAUAGGAUGGGGAUGCGUCUGAUUAGGUAGUCGGCGGGGUAACGGCCCACCGAGCCAUCGAUCAGUAGGGGUUCUGAGAGGAAGGUCCCCCACAUUGGAACUGAGACACGGUCCAAACUCCUACGGGAGGCAGCAGUGAGGAAUAUUGGUCAAUGGGCGAGAGCCUGAACCAGCCAAGUAGCGUGCAGGAUGACGGCCCUAUGGGUUGUAAACUGCUUUUAUGCGGGGAUAAAGUUCACUACGUGUAGUGUUUUGUAGGUACCGCAUGAAUAAGGACCGGCUAAUUCCGUGCCAGCAGCCGCGGUAAUACGGAAGGUCCGGGCGUUAUCCGGAUUUAUUGGGUUUAAAGGGAGCGCAGGCCGAUGGUUAAGCGUGACGUGAAAUGUAGCCGCUCAACGGCUGAGUUGCGUCGCGAACUGGCUGUCUUGAGUGAGUUCGAUGUGGGCGGAAUUCGUGGUGUAGCGGUGAAAUGCUUAGAUAUCACGAAGAACUCCGAUUGCGAAGGCAGCCCACAAGGCCUUUACUGACGCUAAAGCUCGAAGGUGCGGGUAUCGAACAGGAUUAGAUACCCUGGUAGUCCGCACGGUAAACGAUGGAUGCCCGCUGUUUGCGAUAUAUUGUGAGCGGCCAAGAGAAAUCGUUAAGCAUCCCACCUGGGGAGUACGCCGGCAACGGUGAAACUCAAAGGAAUUGACGGGGGCCCGCACAAGCGGAGGAGCAUGUGGUUUAAUUCGAUGAUACGCGAGGAACCUUACCCAGACUCAAAUGCAGAUAGAAUUAUUCAGAGAUGGAUAAGCCCUUCGGGGCUAUUUGCAAGGUGCUGCAUGGUUGUCGUCAGCUCGUGCCGUGAGGUGUCAGGUUAAGUCCUAUAACGAGCGCAACCCUUACGUCCAGUUGCCAGCGGGUAAAGCCGGGGACUCUGGAGGGACUGCCGGCGCAAGCCGAGAGGAAGGUGGGGAUGACGUCAAAUCAGCACGGCCCUUACGUCUGGGGCGACACACGUGCUACAAUGGCCGGUACAGAGGGCAGCGAGCCUGUGAGGGUAAGCGAAUCUCGAAAGCCGGUCUCAGUUCGGAUCGGAGUCUGCAACUCGACUCCGUGAAGUUGGAUUCGCUAGUAAUCGCGCAUCAGCCAUGGCGCGGUGAAUACGUUCCCGGGCCUUGUACUCACCGCCCGUCAAG